rnacentral:rRNA from 1 species
UAAUCACUUGUCUUUUAAAUGAAGACCCGUAUGAACGGCAUCACGAGGGCUCAGCUGUCUCCUCCCCCCAGUCAAUGAAAUUGAUCUGCCCGUGCAGAAGCGGACAUAAGAACAUAAGACGAGAAGACCCUAUGGAGCUUAAGACAAAAAGCCAAACAUGUAAAACAACCCACAAACCAAUUGGAAUAAAAGGUAACUUAACCCUGUGUUAUCUGGCUGGAAUGUCUUCGGUUGGGGCGACCUCGGAGGAAAAACAAGCCUCCGCAUGGAAUGGGGGAAAACAUUCCCCUAAAACUAAGAAAUACAAAUCUAAGUAACAAAAAUUUUGACCAACAAUGACCCGGACUAAGUCCGAUCAACGAACCAAGUUACCCUAGGGAUAACAGCGCAAUCCCUUCCCAGAGUCCA